rnacentral:rRNA from 1 species
UGGGGAAUCUUGGACAAUGGGCGCAAGCCUGAUCCAGCCAUGCCGCGUGGAUGAUGAAGGCCUUAGGGUUGUAAAAUCCUUUCGUGGGGGACGAUAAUGACGGUACCCCAAGAAGAAGCUCCGGCUAACUUCGUGCCAGCAGCCGCGGUAAUACGAAGGGGGCUAGCGUUGUUCGGAUUUACUGGGCGUAAAGCGCGUGUAGGCGGGUCGUUAAGUUGGGGGUGAAAUCCCGAGGCUCAACCUCGGAACUGCCUUCAAAACUGGCGACCUGGACUCAAGCAGAGGCAAGUGGAAUUGCGAGUGUAGAGGUGAAAUUCGUAGAUAUUCGCAGGAACACCAGUGGCGAAGGCGACUUGCUGGGCUUGUAGUGACGCUGAGACGCGAAAGCGUGGGGAGCAAACAGGAUUAGAUACCCCCGUAGUCCCUGAGCGGGCUGGCAAGGCGCAU